rnacentral:rRNA from 1 species
GGUAUCAGAAGUGCGAAUGCUGACAUAAGUAACGAUAAAGCGGGUGAAAAGCCCGCUCGCCGGAAGACCAAGGGUUCCUGUCCAACGUUAAUCGGGGCAGGGUGAGUCGACCCCUAAGGCGAGGCCGAAAGGCGUAGUCGAUGGGAAACGGGUUAAUAUUCCCGUACUUGGUGUUACUGCGAAGGGGGGACGGAGAAGGCUAUGUUGGCCGGGCGACGGUUGUCCCGGUUUAAGCGUGUAGGUGUGUGUUCCAGGUAAAUCCGGUUCACUUUAACACUGAGGCGUGACGACGAGGCACUACGGUGCUGAAGCAACAAAUGCCCUGCUUCCAGGAAAAGCCUCUAAGCAUCAGGUAACAUCAAAUCGUACCCCAAACCGACACAGGUGGUCAGGUAGAGAAUACCAAGGCGCUUGAGAGAACUCGGGUGAAGGAACUAGGCAAAAUGGUGCCGUAACUUCGGGAGAAGGCACGCUGACACGUAGGUGAAGUGAUUUACUCAUGGAGCUGAAGUCAGUCGAAGAUACCAGCUGGCUGCAACUGUUUAUUAAAAACACAGCACUGUGCAAACACGAAAGUGGACGUAUACGGUGUGACGCCUGCCCGGUGCCGGAAGGUUAAUUGAUGGGGUCAGCGCAAGCGAAGCUCCUGAUCGAAGCCCCGGUAAACGGCGGCCGUAACUAUAACGGUCCUAAGGUAGCGAAAUUCCUUGUCGGGUAAGUUCCGACCUGCACGAAUGGCGUAAUGAUGGCCAGGCUGUCUCCACCCGAGACUCAGUGAAAUUGAACUCGCUGUGAAGAUGCAGUGUACCCGCGGCAAGACGGAAAGACCCCGUGAACCUUUACUAUAGCUUGACACUGAACAUUGAGCCUUGAUGUGUAGGAUAGGUGGGAGGCUUUGAAGCGUGGACGCCAGUCUGCGUGGAGCCGACCUUGAAAUACCACCCUUUAAUGUUUGAUGUUCUAACGUGGACCCGUGAUCCGGGUUGCGGACAGUGUCUGGUGGGUAGUUUGACUGGGGCGGUCUCCUCCUAAAGAGUAACGGAGGAGCACGAAGGUUGGCUAAUCCUGGUCGGACAUCAGGAGGUUAGUGCAAUGGCAUAAGCCAGCUUGACUGCGAGCGUGACGGCGCGAGCAGGUGCGAAAGCAGGUCAUAGUGAUCCGGUGGUUCUGAAUGGAAGGGCCAUCGCUCAACGGAUAAAAGGUACUCCGGGGAUAACAGGCUGAUACCGCCCAAGAGUUCAUAUCGACGGCGGUGUUUGGCACCUCGAUGUCGGCUCAUCACAUCCUGGGGCUGAAGUAGGUCCCAAGGGUAUGGCUGUUCGCCAUUUAAAGUGGUACGCGAGCUGGGUUUAGAACGUCGUGAGACAGUUCGGUCCCUAUCUGCCGUGGGCGCUGGAGAACUGAGGGGGGCUGCUCCUAGUACGAGAGGACCGGAGUGGACGCAUCACUGGUGUUCGGGUUGUCAUGCCAAUGGCACUGCCCGGUAGCUAAAUGCGGAAGAGAUAAGUGCUGAAAGCAUCUAAGCACGAAACUUGCCCCGAGAUGAGUUCU